rnacentral:rRNA from 1 species
CCUACGAGGGGCAGCAGUGGGGAAUAUUGCACAAUGGGGGGAACCCUGAUGCAGCGACGCCGCGUGGGUGAAGGAGUAUUUCGGUAUGUAAAGCCCUAUCAGCAGGGAAGAACAAUGACGGUACCUGACUAAGAAGCACCGGCUAAAUACGUGCCAGCAGCCGCGGUAAUACGUAUGGUGCAAGCGUUAUCCGGAUUUACUGGGUGUAAAGGGAGCGCAGGCGGCGCGUUAAGCCUGGUGUGAAAGUCCGCGGCCCAACCGCGGGACUGCAUUGGGAACUGGCGCGCUGGAGUGCCGGAGGGGUAGGCGGAAUUCCUAGUGUAGCGGUGAAAUGCGUAGAUAUUAGGAGGAACACCAGUGGCGAAGGCGGCCUACUGGACGGUGACUGACGCUGAGGCUCGAAAGCGUGGGGAGCAAACAGGAUUAGAUACCCGUGUAGUC